AAAAGAAAAUAAGCUCUUCCCUUUUUUUUUCCUUUUUUUAGACAUAAAAGCAUGGGAGACAAUACCUGUGGUGACAAUGCAAGAACUAUGCCUCAAAAACUGCAAAAAGGAAGGUCUCAGCUACAAGGAAGCUACCUCACUUCUCUUCAGGAUCCCAAGAGUGCUUAAAUUAGUUGACAUUGCCAGUCUGGUUGUGCCUUCUGAGAAAAACCAAAACUAGACCAUAUGACCUGAAAAGCUUCAGAGCAAACAAAGGAGUCAAUUAUUUUUAUAUGACACUGAGGUCAGGCAACCAAUGAAUGCAAGGAUUUAAACAAUUUCAAUGUGUGUUAAAACUCGCUGUGUUCUACUUUACUUAAGUAGUUUUAUUGACCCUAACUUGUUACAGGUUUGUGAAAUGUAAAAGCAUGCAGAUAUAUUUCCCAUGUCUGAUGUUGCUUAUGCAAUUGCUUAUGAAGAAGUAAGCAAUUACAAUUAAAUUCUCCUCAUAAAUGAACACAUCUAAAGCUCAAAACUGUUCCACUUCCAAAAAAGCAUUUUUUUUUAAACAUGGAACACUUCUGAAUUCUUCAAGGUUUUUUUAAUAAGGACUUUCUGACAUGUACCAUAUGCUUUAAAGUUUAUUUAUGUAUUUCUCAUGAAUUGCAUUCUUAAGGCAAAAAGAUCAAAAGGAUAGAUAGGUUUAGAGCACAAGAUGUAAACUAGUUAGAUUUCAAGAUGAUUGACAAUAUUUGAAUCCGGUUCUGACAAACUAUACAAAUGACUAAAGAAGAAGGAUUCUUCAGUUGGCUCUUUUAAACAAAUUUCCACCACACGACUAGACAUAUCCUGCGGCAAAGGGAAGGGUUUGGGCUCUGCACUGCUACCAGCCACCACUGCAGCUCACAAAGCCAAAACACAUACACCACCUAGGACACAGCUUCUUUUCCUUUCCUCCUGUGCAUGGUCCUACAAUUCCUACUCCCAGCUCAAUUUCAUCUACCUGACCUCUGUGGAGAUCCUUUUCUCAAGCCAUAAAAUCUCCUGAUAUUUCACCCACCCACUCAAUUAGGUCAACUGAAGUACCACUCAUGGCCAUAUCAGUGGAGGCAAUGCACGGUGUUUGAACACAUAAUUUACGUUUCUUAUAUGAUGGGAACUCUCUUGAUAUAGAAUUUGCUUUUACUUAAUUAUUAUAAGCUGUAUAAUGUGUUAAGACAUGCAGCAGUUCAUGAGUAAGC
rnacentral:lncRNA from 1 species